AGCCCCUCUUUUUUUUCCCUUUCUUUUUUUUUUGGUUUUGAUGACUGUAUCUGUGAGGGAGGGUAAUUGAUUUUGUUAAUACUUCUGUUUCUCCGUUGUUUAUAUGGAGUGUUAUUGUUUUCUACUAGAUUUUUGUGUGUAAAAAAAAAAAAAAACAAUCAAACAUGUUGAUUCAUCGAACGAGCAAAAUACAUGAGCAAGG
rnacentral:lncRNA from 1 species